GUGCCAGCCGCCGCGGUAAUACGUAGGUGGCGAGCGUUAUCCGGAAUUAUUGGGUGUAAAGGGUGCGUAGGCGGGAUAUAAAGUCAGAUGUGAAAUACCGUGGCUUAACCACGGGGCUGCAUUUGAAACUUAUGUUCUUGAGUUAAGUAGAGGCAAGUGGAAUUCCCAGUGUAGCGGUGAAAUGCGUAGAUAUUGGGAGGAACACCAGUGGCGAAGGCGGCUUGCUGGGCUUAUACUGACGCUGAGGCACGAAAGUGUGGGGAGCAAACAGGAUUAGAUACCCUGGUAGUCCACACUGUAAACUAUGAUUACUAGGUGUAGGGUGGCUGAACCAUUCUGUGCCGGAGUUAACACAAUAAGUAAUCCACCUGGGGAGUACGGCCGCAAGGUUGAA
rnacentral:rRNA from 1 species